UUUAACAAUAAUAUUUUAAUUAAUCACACAAUUUAAUCAACUAUCAUGGGUUUAAGAACAAUAUUUUAAUCAUUCACACAAUUGAAUCAAAUGUCAUGGGGUUAACAACAACAUUUUCAUCAUUCACACAAUUCAAUCAAAUUUCAUGGGUUUAAAAACAACAUUUUCAUCAUUAGAACAAUUCAACCAAAUUUCAUUUGCUUUAUAACAACAUUUUCAUCAUUCAUAUAAUUCAAUCAAAUUUCAUGGAUUUAAUAAGAACAUUUUCAUCAUUCACACAAUUCAAUCGAAUUUCAUGGGUUUAACAACAACAUUUUCAUCAUUCAUACAAUUCAAUCAAAUUUCAUGGGUUCAACAACAACAACAUUUUCAUUAUUCACACAAUUCUAUCAAAUUUCAUUUGUUUAACAUCAACAUUUUCAUCAUUCACACAAUUCAAUCAAAUUUCAUGAAUUUAACAACAACAACAUUUUCAUCAUUCACACAAUUCAAUCAAAUUUCAUGGGUUUAACAACAACAUUUUCAUCAUUCACACAAUUCAAUCAAAUUUCAUGGGUUUAACAACAACAUUUUCAUCAUUCACACAAUUCAAUCAAAUUUCAUGGGUUUAACAACAACAUUUUCAUCAUUCACACAAUUCAAUCAAAUUUCAUGGGUUUAACAACAACAACAUUUUCAUCAUUCAUACAAUUCAAUCAAAUUUCAUGGGUUCAACAACAACAACAUUUUCAUUAUUCACACAAUUCUAUCAAAUUUCAUUGGUUUAACAUCAACAUUUUCAUCAUUCACACAAUUCAAUCAAAUUUCAUGGAUUUAACAACAACAACAUU
rnacentral:lncRNA from 1 species